rnacentral:rRNA from 1 species
GCCGGGAAUUCGAUUGUUUGAUCCUGGCUCAGGACGAACGCUGGCGGCGUGCCUAAUACAUGCAAGUCGAGCGAGCUGAAUUCAAAGAUUCCUUCGGGAUGAUUUAUUGGACGCUAGCGGCGGAUGGGUGAGUAACACGUGGGCAAUCUGCCCUAAAGACUGGGAUACCACUUGGAAACAGGUGCUAAUACCGGAUAACAACAUGAAUCGCAUGAUUCAAGUUUGAAAGGCGGCGCAAUCUGUCACUUUAGGAUGAGCCCGCGGCGCAUUAGCUAGUUGGUGGGGUAAAGGCCUACCAAGGCAAUGAUGCGUACCGAGUUGAGAGACUGAUCGGCCACAUUGGGACUGAGACACGGCCCAAACUCCUACGGGAGGCAGCAGUAGGGAAUCUUCCACAAUGGACGCAAGUCUGAUGGAGCAACGCCGCCUGAAUUAAGAAGGUUUUCGGAUCGUAAAGCUCUGUUGUUGGUGAAGAAGGAUAGGAGCAAUAACUUGUUUCUAUUUNACCGUAAUCAACCAGAAAGUCACGGCUAACUACUUGCCAGCAGCCGCCGUAAUACGUANUUGCAAGCGUUUUCC